rnacentral:sRNA from 12 species
UGCGUUAUUGCCUUCUAUUGUCGCCAGCUUCUUUAUUAUGUUCGUCACAUAUUCACGCACGAUAUUAUUUUGACGAUAAAAUGACAAGCCCGAAUGAAUAUUCGGGCUUUUUUUAUGCUAAGG